GCUGGGCGUGGUGGCUCAUGCCUGUAAUCCUAGCACUUUGGGAGGCAGAGGCAGGAGGAUGACUUGAGCCCAGGAGUUUGAGACCAGCCUGGGCAACAGAGUGAGACCCUGUCUCUA
ensembl:misc_RNA Metazoa_SRP Metazoan signal recognition particle RNA